rnacentral:tRNA from 1 species
AGGGGCGGAUGUAGCCAAGUGGAUCAAGGCAGUGGAUUGUGAAUCC